rnacentral:sRNA from 1 species
UAUCCAAUGAUGAAAUCAAACGGGCAAUUCUAACAAUGGACGAACAGGAAGAUCUGCCCAAAGACAUGUUGGAACAGCUCUUGAAAUUUGUUCCUGAAAAAAGUGACAUUGACCUAUUGGAGGAACAUAAACACGAACUGGAUCGGAUGGCCAAGGCUGAUAGGUUCCUUUUUGAGAUGAGCCGAAUUAAUCACUAUCAGCAAAGGUUGCAAUCGCUGUACUUCAAAAAGAAGUUUGCAGAGCGUGUGGCAUUUGGAAAUUAUAUGAAUAAAGGUCAAAGAGGGAAUGCAUAUGGAUUCAAGAUAUCUAGCCUAAACAAAAUUGCUGACACAAAAUCCAGCAUCGACAAAAACAUUACCCUUUUGCACUAUCUCAUCACUAUUGUGGAAAAUAAGUACCCUAGUGUUCUCAAUCUAAAUGAAGAAUUGCGAGAUAUUCCUCAAGCUGCGAAAGUAAAGAGCUGGAAUAUCAGAAGUCUCAGCCCCCACAUCCCGGAGAUAAGUUUGUGUCUGUUGUCAGCCAGUUCAUCACAGUAGCCAGCUUCAGCUUCUCUGAUGUUGAAGACCUUCUAGCAGAAGCUAAAGACCUGUUUACUAAAGCAGUGAAGCACUUUGGGGAAGAGGCUGGCAAAAUACAACCAGAUGAGUUCUUUGGCAUUUUUGAUCAAUUUCUUCAAGCUGUGUCAGAAGCCAAACAAGAAAACGAAAAUAUGAGAAAGAAAAAGGAGGAAGAAGAACGUCGAGCUCGCAUGGAAGCUCAGCUCAAAGAACAACGUGAAAAGGAACGUAAAAUGAGAAAAGCUAAAGAGAAUAGUGAAGAAAGCGGAGAGUUUGAUGACCUUGUUUCAGCUUUACGCUCAGGAGAAGUGUUUGACAAAGACCUUUCUAAACUGAAACGGAAUCGCAAACGCAUUACCAACCAGAUGACUGACAGCAGCAGAGAGAGACCAAUCACAAAACUUAAUUUCUAAUUUUCCAUGAAUACUUUUUUUAGAAAGCUCAUUAGCGGCCCUGUAAAGUGACUAGAACGUUUCAUUACACUGCCUUGCAAUCCAAACAGUGGCAAUUUUUUCCUUCAUCUGUGAGUGAAUGCGUGAAUGUGUGUGUAUGUAAAUGUAUGUGUAUAUAUAUUAAAAAAUGUAUAUAGAUGUCUGAGUGUUGUCUGGAGACCUAUACGUAUGGUUAAAAAGAUUUAUGUUAAUGUAUGUGCUCCGAAACCUUUCGUGUAUGCAUUCACAUUGAGUGUGGCUCAUUUUCUUUCCCUGAACACCAUGACUGUUGAGAAGCACAAUACUAUCUCCUGAAAGAGAUGACAGAGACAUUCCCUAGAUUCAAAGGCAAAACAGAAGAAAAAAACAAAAAAAGCUUGCAAAAUAUUUUAUGGUUUCCAAGCUUGAUAUCCUUUGAAAUUAUUUUCAUUGAUGGAACUGGAGUUGGAAAAAUAUAGAUUUAAAAUGGUUUUUGAUAGCUGACAUUGUGAUGUUGAUGUAUCACAUCAGUAAUAGGACCAGCUUCGAAUUUCUGACAUUGGUGUGGGGAUACAGUCUGUAAAUGUUUAUUGAGAACAUCUUGCACACAAUUUGAAUUAUGUAGAAUGUCAAUCAGAAUUUUUUGUAUAUUUAAAAGUUGGACAUCAAUUUUUUCCCCUGAUUUCAUCAAGUUAUCUCUGCCAAGUGCUCUUGAUAAUUUCUUCAGAUUUUUGGAAAAAAACACUAUAUAAAUGCAAUCCAUGCUUUUUUUAAAGAACAACAUUGCCGGAGUAUGCUUGUUCUAACAAUAUAGAUAUAUAAACCUUAAAAAUAUCUCACCCAAGACUUAAAGGAAGAAUUCUCUGAAGGGAUAAAGAUUACU